rnacentral:rRNA from 1 species
CCUACGGGAGGCAGCAGUGAGGAAUAUUGGUCAAUGGACGAGAGUCUGAACCAGCCAAGUAGCGUGAAGGAUGACUGCCCUAUGGGUUGUACACUUCUUUUAUAAAGGAAUAAAACGAGGCACGUGUGCCCUUUUGUAUGUACUUUAUGAAUAAGGAUCGGCUAACUCCGUGCCAGCAGCCGCGGUAAUACGGAGGAUCCGAGCGUUAUCCGGAUUUAUUGGGUUUAAAGGGAGCGUAGAUGGGUUGUUAAGUCAGUUGUGAAAGUUUGCGGCUCAACCGUAAAAUUGCAAUUGAUACUGGCAGUCUUGAGUACAGUUGAGGUAGGCAGAAUUCGUGGUGUAGCGGUGAAAUGCUUAGAUAUCACGAAGAACCCCGAUUGCGAAGGCAGCUUACUAAACUGUGACUGACAUUGAUGCUCGAAAGUGUGGGUAUCAAACAGGAUUAGAUACCCGAGUAGUC